UUCACUUUCAAAACGCAUGGAAGAAACUUCAAUACAAAACAGAACAGCUUUCCAUUGAAAAGAACUGGAAGUGAUGGGUAGAGUUUACCAAAAACUUCCUUACAAUGGAGACCAUCACCAACGGAUUAUUUGCCAUAAUCUGAGGCUAAUGUGCAUGUCUAGGAUUUAGGAGUCCUAGGUUCUGCCCCCAGCUCUUCUGGGGCUGUGCUAGUGGUGUGGCCUCACCAGGCCAAUGGGGGUUUCAGGUAGUUUUGGGAGUUGACGGAGACCACUGGCCAGAAACAAAAAGAAUGUAGUGUGUGUGUGUGUGUGUGUGUGUGUGUGUGUGUUGGGUGUUGGGGGGAGGGGGGAGGUAUGUAAGGGAGAAGUAUUAAGGUAAUCAAGAAAUUCACAAUUAAUUCCCAUUAGCUCUUGGAAUGCACCUUGACAUUCUCAUUUUGAAAAGGGCUAAAUUAUGAUCUGAGGGUUUACACCAAAUCAUGAAGCUGUGAAGGGGUUCCCUGGCCCAAUCCCUGUGAACACUUCCUUUAACUCCCUCUGUGGUCAGCUGUCCAGGAAUUUAGCAGCUAAAGAGGAGUAAUCCAGGGCAGCAUUUAAAGGCAGUAAGGGGGUAGGUGAAGGUUGUAUUAAUUUUCAGAUUUUAAUUUGGGUAUUUAUGAUUAAGUAUUAUGAUAAAUACAUUUUCUAAUAUUUACAUCUCUCUUUCUAUGGUUUCCUGUGGCUUGACUUGGUCUCCAUACUGGAUGUAAACCAGAGUGUGUUUGUUUCUUGCCUACCAGGAUAUGGAUCCAAGGGAAAAAGUGAGUUUGCCUUUAAAAAUUGUUAGAUACUUAUGCAGACUACGCGGGGUGCCUUUCCCCUUUUUUUCUCCCUCUUCACUCUCAAUUUUUAUUGUAUCUUUCUUCUGGGAGACAUGAAAAUACUUUCGUUCACAAGGCUUUUCUAGAGCUUUGCCUUACAUGAUCUGUAGAGCAUUCUAACACUGAUAAGAGUGGGACAAUUUGAAACUUAGUUGAGAUUAGUCACAGAAGAGCUGAAAGAGAGCAGAUAUACCCCCAAAGCAUGCAACCGGGGGCAGCAUGGGUGAAAAUACCAGUUCUCUGGUCCCACCUGGGGCAGGGCCUAGAAAACUGUCAACUCAACAACUUGUGUAGGCAAGCUGGCUUUGAGCCAGUGAACUAGUUCUUUCUCUUUCUUACAGAUGAGGGAACUAGGGCUUGGUGAGGGCAACUCCCCAAGACACCAUGGUGAAUUUGGGGCAGGGAUGGGACCAGAACCCAGUGCCUGGUUCUGACUGCAGCACGCCUCCCUGUAAAGCGCACUGAGCACUAAUGUGGCCUCAUACCCUGUGGCCUGGUUUUAAGUGAACACUGAUGCGCUGUUCGUACCCAGUCCGUGUAACUCACCAGAGUAUUCCCUAUCUUCUUUUUUCUUUGCCUCCUCCUCACUCCCCUGCUUUUUCUGGAUGCCCUGAACCACCAUGCAAAUAAACUUGUUUUUCUCAGUAUUUGUGCAAGUCUAGAGACAUGAAACCCAAAGAUUGCCUCAUCAUAAGGCCGCCUUACCAGAGAUCUGUAUCUUGUUUAUUUACAGAGAGGACAGAUACAGUUGGAAUCCUCAGCAUUGCUCUGGGAUAGGUGGAGGGAGGACUCUGCUGCUUCUCGGCAGCUCAUGGCCCACCUCCAAGGCUCCAGGACGUGCUCGGAGCAGAGGUGAAGUUCAGAUUUGUGGCAGUGUGGUGGGAGCCAGACUCGGAACAGGAUCCCACAUUACAUUUCGUCGUCAUGUCUCCUCAGGCUCCUGUUGGCUGUGAUGGUUUCUCUGACUUUCCUUGUUUUUGGUGGCUUUGACAGUUUAUACUUGGUGUGGUGAGAGCAUUUAAAAUAUUGAGGACGGUGACUGAUGACAUGCAUAAACCGCACCCAAAUGCCAAAUGAUGGAAGGUGACACUUAAAGAAUACCGAUGGAACUGCUCAAAUUAGAAAACUUGAAAUGUGAAUGAAAAGGAACACAUGGCUUUGUUUCUGAUUUACUUUUUCUACAGAGAUGUGUGACUGCCAGGACCCCACCUUUCUAGAAAGAGCUUUUGAAAUGAGAAGACUGGCUUCCAGCUUAUGGAGGAGGAUGCUACACAGAGGAAUGGAGAAUCAGAACCGGCCCUGGGGGGAAGAGGACGCUCAGGGUAGCAAAGGAAAUGUCUCCAGGUGGUGGGCAGCUGGGACUCCUGCAUUUGGGAGGGACCAGAUGUCAAGAGAGAUUAGGGAAUCACCUCUCCAAUUUGAGGGGAUGAGGAAAUUGGGGCGGGGGAGUGAGGGUACCCUAAUAAUACUCAAUGGGGGUAUUAAAUCCCACUGCUGUGAAAAUAUCUUUUGGGAAAUUUGAUUCCUGGGGGCUCUGACUGGAUGGGGCUGUGGCGUUGUGAGAAAGGUCCCUGGCUAUGAGUGCAGGGUGCAGGGGUGUUGG